rnacentral:rRNA from 1 species
AGCGAACGCUGGCGGCAGGCUUAACACAUGCAAGUCGAGCGGGCGUAGCAAUACGUCGGCGGCAGACGGGUGAGUAACGCGUGGGAACGAACCUUUUGGUUCGGAACAACACAGGGAAACUUGUGCUAAUACCGGAUAAGCCCUUACGGGGAAAGAUUUAUCGCCGCAAGAUCGGGCCGCGUCUGAUUAUCUUGCUGGUGAGGUAACGGAUCACCAAGGCGACGAUCAGAAGCUGGUCUGAGAGGAUGAUCAGCAACAUUGAGACUGAGACACGGCCCGAACUCCUACGGAAGGCAGCAGGGGGGAAGAUGCGACAACGGGGGCAACCCUGAUCCAGCCAGGCCGCGUGAGUGAUGAAGGCCCGAGGGUUGUAAAGCUCUUUUGUGCGGGAAGAUAAUGACGGUACCGCAAGAAUAAGCCCCGGUUAACUUCGU